rnacentral:rRNA from 1 species
UACAGAGGGUGCGAGCGUUAAUCGGAAUUACUGGGCGUAAAGCGCGCGUAGGCGGCUUUGCAAGUCGGGUGUGAAAUCCCCAGGCUUAACCUGGGAACUGCAUUCGAGACUGCAUUGCUAGAGUAUGGGAGAGGGAAGUGGAAUUCCCAGUGUAGCGGUGAAAUGCGUAGAUAUUGGGAGGAACACCAGUGGCGAAGGCGGCUCACUGGACUGGUACUGACGCUGAGGCGCGAAAGCGUGGGGAGCAAACGGG